CCCAGACUCCUACGGGAGGCAGCAGUAAGGAAUAUUCCACAAUAAGCGAAAGCUUGAUGGAGCGACACAGCGUGCAGGAUGAAGUCUUUCGGGAUGUAAACUGCUGUUGUAAGGGAAGAAAAAACUAGAUAGGAAAUGCUCUAGUCUUGACGGUACCUUAUUAGAAAGCGACGGCAAACUAUGUGCCAGCAGCCGCGGUAAUACAUAGGUCGCAAGCGUUAUCCGGAAUUAUUGGGCGUAAAGCGUCCGUAGGUUUUUUGUUAAGUUUAAAGUUAAAUGCUAAAGCUCAACUUUAGUCCGCUUUAGAUACUGGCAAAAUAGAAUUAUGAAGAGGUUAGCGGAAUUCCUAGUGGAGUGGUGGAAUACGUAGAUAUUAGGAAGAACACCAAUAGGCGAAGGCAGCUAACUGGUCAUAUAUUGACACUAAGGGACGAAAGCGUGGGGAGCAAACAGGAUUAGAUACCCUGGUAGUCCACGCCGUAAACGAUGAUCAUUAGUUGGUGGCAAAAGUCACUAACACAGCUAACGCGUUAAAUGAUCCGCCUGAGUAGUAUGCUCGCAAGAGUGAAACUUAAAGGAAUUGACGGGAACCCGCACAAGCGGUGGAGCAUGUGGUUUAAUUUGAAGAUACGCGUAGAACCUUACCCACUCUUGACAUUCUCGCAAAACUAUAGAGAUAUAGCCGAGGCUAACGAGAUCACAGAUGGUGCAUGGUUGUCGUCAGCUCGUGUCGUGAGAUGUUAGGUUAAGUCCUGCAACGAGCGCAACCCUUUUCUUUAGUUGCUAACAUUUAGUUGAGAACCCUAAAGAUACUGCCGGCGCAAGCCGGAGGAAGGUGGGGACGACGUCAAAUCAUCAUGCCUCUUACGAGUGGGGCAACACACGUGCUACAAUGGCUACUACAAAGAGCAGCAAAACAGUGAUGUCAAGCUAAUCUCAAAAAAGUAGUCUCAGUUCGGAUUGAAGUCUGCAACUCGACUUCAUGAAGUCGGAAUCGCUAGUAAUCGCAGGUCAGCUAUACUGCGGUGAAUACGUUCUCGGGUUUUGUACACACCGCCCGUCACACCAUGGGAGUUGGUAAUGCCCAAAGUCGGUGAGUUAACUUCGGAGACCAUUGCCUAAGGCAGGACCGAUGACUGGGGUGAAGUCGUAACAAGGUAUCCCUACGAGAACGUGGGGAUGGAACACCU
rnacentral:rRNA from 1 species